GAUGAACGCUGGCGGCGUGCUUAACACAUGCAAGUCGAACGGAAAGGCCCUGCUUUUGUGGGGUGCUCGAGUGGCGAACGGGUGAGUAACACGUGAGUAACCUGCCCUUGACUUUGGGAUAACUUCAGGAAACUGGGGCUAAUACCGGAUAGGAGCUCCUGCUGCAUGGUGGGGGUGGGAAAGUUUCGGCGGUUGGGGAUGGACUCGCGGCUUAUCAGCUUGUUGGUGGGGUAGUGGCUUACCAAGGCUUUGACGGGUAGCCGGCCUGAGAGGGUGACCGGCCACAUUGGGACUGAGAUACGGCCCAGACUCCUACGGGAGGCAGCAGUGGGGAAUAUUGCACAAUGGGCGGAAGCCUGAUGCAGCAACGCCGCGUGCGGGAUGACGGCCUUCGGGUUGUAAACCGCUUUCGCCUGUGACGAAGCGUGAGUGACGGUAAUGGGGAAAGAAGCACCGGCUAACUACGU
rnacentral:rRNA from 1 species